rnacentral:rRNA from 1 species
UGAGGAAUAUUGCGCAAUGGGGGAAACCCUGACGCAGCGAUGCCGCGUGGGUGAAGAAGGCUUUCGGGUCGUAAAGCCCUGUCAGGUGGGAAGAAUAGCCUCUUAUUGAAUAGAUGGGAGGCAUGACGGUACCACCGAAGGAAGCACCGGCUAACUCCGUGCCAGCAGCCGCGGUAAGACGGAGGGUGCAAGCGUUAUUCGGAAUUAUUGGGCGUAAAGAGUGUGUAGGCGGCCGGUUAAGUCAGGCGUGAAAGCCCAGGGCUCAACCCUGGAAGUGCGUUUGAAACUGGCUGGCUUGAGUUCGGGAGAGGGAAGCGGAAUUCCUGGUGUAGAGGUGAAAUUCGUAGAUAUCAGGAGGAACAUCGGUGGCGAAGGCGGCUUCCUGGACCGAAACUGACGCUGAGACACGAAAGCGUGGGGAGCAAACAGG